rnacentral:rRNA from 1 species
UACAGAGGUCCCAAGCGUUGUUCGGAUUCAUUGGGCGUAAAGGGUGCGUAGGUGGCGUCGUAAGUCGGGUGUGGAAAUCUCGGGGCUUAACUCCGAAACUGCAUUCGAUACUGCGGUGCUUGAGGACUGGAGAGGAGACUGGAAUUUACGGUGUAGCAGUGAAAUGCGUAGAGAUCGUAAGGAAGACCAGUGGCGAAGGCGGGUCUCUGGACAGUUCCUGACACUGAGGCACGAAGGCCAGGGGAGCAAACGGG